rnacentral:rRNA from 1 species
UACAGAGGUCUCAAGCGUUGUUCGGAUUCAUUGGGCGUAAAGGGUGCGUAGGUGGCGCUGUAAGUCGGGUGUGAAAUUUCGGAGCUUAACUCCGAAACUGCAUUCGAUACUGGCGUGCUUGAGGACUGGAGAGGAGACUGGAAUUUACGGUGUAGCGGUGAAAUGCGUAGAUAUCGUAAGGAAGACCAGUGGCGAAGGCGGGUCUCUGGACAGUUCCUGACGCUGAGGCACGAAGGCCAGGGGAGCAAACGGG